ACUACAAAUCUUUACUUAUUUUUGGCAUUAGUUCACUCUUAACUUUUUUCCCACUUGCAGUUAUAAGAAGUUGAUGUCUCUGAAAACAGCUGAUACUGAUAUAAGACCGAAGAUCAGUUUAAAAUUUAAUACAAAAGUUUCAGAUAUUCUUCUGCGUCUUGGGAUGAAGCAAGAAGAUAUUGACAAAGUGAAGGAGAAUCCCAUUGAGAAUAUUUCCCUUGAUUACCAUCAGCUAUCCAUCUACCUAGGCAUACCAGUACCAGAAAUCAUCCAAAGAAUGCUAUCCUGCUAUCAACAAGGAAUUGCUCUACAGUCAAUAACAGGCAGUCAACGUAUUGAACUAGAAGAGUUACAGAAUGAGGAAGAAGACCUAAGUCCACCACUUAUGGAAUACAAUAUAAAUGUGAAAUCAAACUCUGAAAUACAGUUAGCAGAAAUGAAUAAAGAUGGAGCCUCUAUACCCAGUGAAUCUUCAACAGAAUCUAUUAAAGAUCUCCAAGAAGUAUAAGCUUUCAUUAAUAGUUGAAUUUUAAAAACUUACUCUGGGCCUUUAGUUGUUGCAUUAAAGCAUCUCAGAUGAUUUUAUAUAAUCCUUAUUAUGGGCUUUCCCCAGAACUCGAAUUAGAAUAUUUCUUUCUUUACUAUUUUCUUCCAUAGUCUUUCCUUCUGUAACCAUUUCUCUCACCAACAUGCAUUGAACACUUACUAUGAACCAGGCAUUAUGCUGAGUUUCUGAGACUAUUUCUUCAUCCUAAUAGAAGUAGAUGUGGGAGGGUAGUAGAAAGAAAGUAUAGUAAGGAAUAGAGGAGAGGAAAAGAGAAAACUGGGAAAUUUCAGUGCCACUUGCAUAGAGGUAGAAUUAAAUCAUUUAGGAUGAAAUCUCCACAUUUGUUACCCGUAAGUGGCAACAGUUACUAUAAAGGCCCUCAUUUCUUCUUGAGCUUAAUCUUUCAUGGUGGACAUGAAAAUGUUGUUCUUUCAAAACUUCCCACCUCCUUUUGUUACUCAUGUGCAUGUGUGUAAGUAAAUACUCUUCAACAUUUUUCCUUAGCCUACUUAUUGAUAGUAUUGCUGGUUCUUUAUAUGUCUGAUUUUUCAAAGGCAGAAAACUAAGAUAAAAAAUAAAAAUUAAUUUUUUCAUAAAAUCUAGAAAGAUAUAUGACCUAUAGUUCCAGAAGACAAAAGAUAUUAGUCUUUAGGAAAAACACUUUACAAACCACUCAUUAUAUAGCUUGAAUUGUAUAUUAACAUAUGAUUUCUUUCUUAUCUAUUAGGCAAAAAGUAAGCCGAAGAAAAAGAAAAAAAUGAAGACUAAAAAGGUAAGAGUACAUAUAAAUAUUAUAAUAGAAGAAUAUCUGAUUAUAACAUUUGAGUUUAAUUAUGUAC
rnacentral:lncRNA from 1 species